rnacentral:rRNA from 1 species
AGAGUUUGAUCAUGGCUCAGGACGAACGCUGGCGGCGUGCUUAACACAUGCAAGUCGAACGAUGAAGCCUAGCUUGCUAGGUGGAUUAGUGGCGAACGGGUGAGUAAUACGUGAGUGACCUACCUUUGACUCUGGGAUAAGCCUGGGAAACUGGGUCUAAUACCGGAUACGACCAAUCUCCGCAUGGGGUGUUGGUGGAAAGCGUUAUGGAGUGGUUUUAGAUGGGCUCACGGCCUAUCAGCUUGUUGGUGAGGUAAUGGCUUACCAAGGCGACGACGGGUAGCCGGCCUGAGAGGGUGACCGGCCACACUGGGACUGAGACACGGCCCAGACUCCUACGGGAGGCAGCAGUGGGGAAUAUUGCACAAUGGGCGCAAGCCUGAUGCAGCGACGCCGCGUGAGGGAUGACGGCCUUCGGGUUGUAAACCUCUGUUAGCAUCGAAGAAGCGAAAGUGACGGUAGGUGCAGAGAAAGCGCCGGCUAACUACGUGCCAGCAGCCGCGGUAAUACGUAGGGCGCGAGCGUUGUCCGGAAUUAUUGGGCGUAAAGAGCUUGUAGGCGGUUGGUCGCGUCUGCUGUGAAAGGCUGGGGCUUAACCCUGGUUUUGCAGUGGGUACGGGCUAACUAGAGUGCAGUAGGGGAGACUGGAAUUCCUGGUGUAGCGGUGGAAUGCGCAGAUAUCAGGAGGAACACCGAUGGCGAAGGCAGGUCUCUGGGCUGUAACUGACGCUGAGAAGCGAAAGCAUGGGGGGAGCGAACAGGAUUAGAUACCCUGGUAGUCCAUGCCGUAAACGUUGGGCACUAGGUGUGGGGGACAUUCCACGUUUUCCGCGCCGUAGCUAACGCAUUAAGUGCCCCGCAUGGGGAGUACGGCCGCAAGGCUAAAACUCAAAGAAAUUGACGGGGGCCCGCACAAGCGGCGGAGCAUGCGGAUUAAUUCGAUGCAACGCGAAGAACCUUACCAAGGCUUGACAUAUACUGGACUGCGUCAGAGAUGGCGUUUCCCUUCGGGGCUGGUAUACAGGUGGUGCAUGGUUGUCGUCAGCUCGUGUCGUGAGAUGUUGGGUUAAGUCCCGCAACGAGCGCAACCCUCGUUCUAUGUUGCCAGCACGUGAUGGUGGGGACUCAUAGGAGACUGCCGGGGUCAACUCGGAGGAAGGUGGGGAUGACGUCAAAUCAUCAUGCCCCUUAUGUCUUGGGCUUCACGCAUGCUACAAUGGCCGGUACAGAGGGUUGCGAUACUGUGAGGUGGAGCUAAUCCCUAAAAGCCGGUCUCAGUUCGGAUUGGGGUCUGCAACUCGACCCCAUGAAGUCGGAGUCGCUAGUAAUCGCAGAUCAGCAACGCUGCGGUGAAUACGUUCCCGGGCCUUGUACACACCGCCCGUCA